GUGUCAGCAGCCGCGGUAAAACGUAGGGGGCCAGCGUUGCUCGGAAUAACUGGGCGUAAAGGGUCUGUAGGCGGUGCGGCAAGUCGGAAGUGAAAUCCCAGAGCUUAACUCUGGGACUGCUCCCGAAACUGCCGUGCUCGAGUGCGAGAGAGGCGAGUGGAAUUGCAGGUGUAGCGGUGAAAUGCGUAGAUAUCUGCAGGAACACCCGAGGCGAAAGCGGCUCGCUGGAUCGCAACUGACGCUGAGAGACGAAAGCUAGGGGAGCAAACAGGAUUAGAUACCCUGGUAGUCCUAGCCCUAAACGAUCAGGACUGGGCGUGGGUCCCGUACGGGGCUCGUGCCGUAGCUAACGCGUUAAGUCCUGCGCCUGGGGAGUACGGUCGCAAGGCUGAA
rnacentral:rRNA from 1 species